rnacentral:lncRNA from 1 species
UUCCUUUAGCCCCCACGUAAGAUCUUGAUGCUUACACUGAGCGACCCCAAACUUCUCUCAUUUUCCAACCAUGAUAGAAGCCACCGGGACCUUGAACAUGAUUUUAGGAAACUUUUCCAAUCCUGCCCUUUUCCUGGUUGAACAGAAAUGGAAAAAUCUUCAGUGCUUCCUCCUAGUGUCCUGGCUGGAUGACCAGGUGGCUCCAGAGAAAGCCACACCCGAAGAGAGACAAGCUGCUGCGUAAACAUCGACUUCGGAAAAACCUACCCUCUCAUGCUGGGACACCAGGAGAAGAAAAUUCACCAAAGGGGAAUAAGAGAUAAGCAUACCCUGAGCAAGACUGGAUUCUGCCUUUGGACUACAGGCUCCUGGAGAACUCGACCACCUGACAUCUUCCUUCCAUAUUUGUUUUCUGCUGCCUUUCUACGAUCAAGUUCCUGUAAAGGCCCCACACAAUCUAUCCCUAAUCCAUCUGGCCAGCCUUACCUCCCAAUACAGCCCAUUCUUCUCUUUUCCUCGACCCCCACAUCCGUCCCCUCAGAAAUUCCUCCUGUCAUUCUGUGAAAUAUACCUCAUGACGACCCCUGCCAGUCUACCAAGAGAGUGCCAAGGCGCCUCAUUCUCCGCUGGAUGCUGCCGUCAUCCGGGAUUACAGCUGAUCUCAAGGCCUCCAGUCUACAUUCACGUGUGCUUUUUAAUAUAUCAGUAGAUGUGUCUACCUCAGAAACUUUCUCAGUGAAAAGGUCUUGUUUUUCUUCUUUAUUAGAUUUUGUCACAUACCGAACACAAUAAAUACAAUACAUAUAAUAAAGGACA